rnacentral:rRNA from 1 species
AUACGUAGGUGGCAAGCGUUGUCCGGAAUUACUGGGCGUAAAGAGCUCGUAGGUGGUUUGUCGCGUCGUCUGUGAAAUUCCGGGGCUUAACUCCGGGCGUGCAGGCGAUACGGGCAUAACUUGAGUACUGUAGGGGAGACUGGAAUUCCUGGUGUAACGGUGAAAUGCGCAGAUAUCAGGAGGAACACCGGAGGCGAAGGCGGGUCUCUGGGCAGUAACUGACGCUGAGGAGCGAAAGCAUGGGUAGCGAACAGGAUUAGAUACCCUGGUAGUCCAUGCCGUAAACGGUGGGCGCUAGGUGUAGGGGUCUUCCACGACUUCUGUGCCGUAGCUAACGCAUUAAGCGCCCCGCCUGGGGAGUACGGCCGCAAGGCUAAAACUCAAAGGAAUUGACGGGG